rnacentral:rRNA from 1 species
GCCAGACUCCUACGGGAGGCAGCAGUGAGGAAUAUUGGUCAAUGGGCGGAAGCCUGAACCAGCCAAGUCGCGUGAGGGAAUAAGGCCCUACGGGUCGUAAACCUCUUUUGCCGGGGAGCAAGGGCGGGGACGUGUCCCGGCCCGGAGAGUACCCGGAGAAAAAGCAUCGGCUAACUCCGUGCCAGCAGCCGCGGUAAUACGGAGGAUGCGAGCGUUAUCCGGAUUUAUUGGGUUUAAAGGGUGCGUAGGCGGACUGGAAAGUCAGCGGUAAAAUCGAGAGGCUCAACCUCUUUCCGCCGUUGAAACUGUCGGUCUUGAGUGGGCGAGAAGUAUGCGGAAUGCGUGGUGUAGCGGUGAAAUGCAUAGAUAUCACGCAGAACUCCGAUUGCGAAGGCAGCAUGCCGGCGCCCGACUGACGCUGAGGCACGAAAGCGUGGGUAUCGAACAGGAUUAGAUACCCCCGUAUUU